AUGCAGGCCCGAUGGUUCUCGUCGGCAGGGCUUCCGCCACACAUGGUGAUUGGGAUGCCAGCGCUGUCCCCUACAAUGAAUCAAGGUAACAUCACAAAAUGGAGAAAACAGGAAGGCGAUAAGAUAGAGGUUGGUGAUGUGAUCUGUGAGAUAGAAACUGACAAAGCCACGCUUGAAUUUGAAACUCUUGAAGAGGGGUAUCUGGCCAAGAUUUUAGUACCUGAAGGUUCAAAGGAUGUUCAGGUUGGACAACCCAUUUAUGUCACGGUCGAAGAAUCCGAUGAUAUUGAAAAGAUACCUGCUGAUACCUCCUUUGGAGGUGACCAUAAGGAGGAUGAGUCAAGUGGAAGUGCAGCACAAACUGUCGAAGUUGAUGCAGCUGAACAAAGCCCAGUAAUGAGCCGCAUCAGCCCUGCAGCUAAGAUGCUGAUCAAAGAACAUGGUCUUAAUGCCUCUUUGCUGAAGGCAUCAGGUCCCCGUGGCACCCUUCUGAAAGGUGAUGUUUUGGCUGCGUUGAAGUCAGGCACUGCUUUAAGUUCAGCCAAAGAAAAGACAGCUCCAGCUGCACCUUCGCCCCAACCAGCUCGUGAUUCCCAAGUUCACUCUCAGACAACUUCACCAAAGAGCGACACAUUUGAAGAUAUAACGAAUACUCAGAUACGCAAGGUGAUUGCAAAAAGGUUGCUUGAAUCCAAACAGACUACUCCACAUUUGUACCUAUCCAAAGAUGUUAUACUGGAUCCCUUACUCGCAUUCAGGAAUGAACUCAAAGAGCAACACGGUGUUAAAGUUUCAGUAAAUGAUAUUGUCAUAAAAGCUGUGGCACUUGCCUUAAGGAACGUCCCUGAAGCAAAUGCUUACUGGGACAAUUCGAAGGAAGAAGCCCAGAAGUGUGAUUCAGUGGAUAUAUCUAUUGCUGUUGCUACAGAGAAGGGCCUGAUGACUCCUAUAAUAAGAAACGCGGAUCAAAAGACUAUAUCAGCAAUAUCUUCAGAGGUCAAACAGCUAGCCGAAAAGGCACGUGCUGGGAAGCUUGCUCCUAAUGAGUUCCAGGGGGGUACUUUCAGUAUCUCAAAUCUAGGAAUGUAUCCGGUGGACCACUUCUGUGCUAUCAUUAAUCCUCCACAGGCUGGCAUUCUCGCUGUUGGUCGGGGUAACAAGGUUGUGGUGCCUGUGAUGGACAAUGACGGAACAGAGAAGGCUGCUGUAGUAACAAAGAUGAUGCUGACACUGUCUGCUGAUCAUCGUAUAUUUGAUGGGCAAGUAGGAGGCAAGUUUUUCACGGAGCUGGCAUUGAACUUCAGCGACAUCAGGAGGCUGCUUUUGUAA
rnacentral:rRNA from 1 species